rnacentral:lncRNA from 1 species
UGAUCUUUGAUUAUGUCAAAAGUCACUCCAAAAGGAGGGUGUCCACGGCAUAGUUGGGGUUAAGCCACUUAGCUAUGGAGGCAAGUGAAUGCGCAACAAGGGAUCUCUAACCUUCAAACCUGUUUGAGGGAGAAUACUCUAUGAUAUGAUUUAAGAAUCUCUGGCCAGAGUAUGAAUGAGAUUUAGGAAUACGUUCCAAAUCACAUUCAAGGUAAUCAUAUAAGCACACGAAUCACAUUGGAUAGUAGACAUGAAUAAAUAAACUAUCAAACCAAACAAUGUGGUCAAGAGUAUUGUAUUAGAGAAAGACCGUAUUGCAUUUAUAAUCCUAAACUGAAUAGGUUCUCCACCUCUUCUGAUU